CAGUCGCCGCGGGAAUACGUAGGGAGCAAGCGUUGUUCGGAUUUACUGGGCGUAAAGGGCGCGUAGGCGGCGCGGUAAGUCACUUGUGAAAUCUCCGAGCUUAACUCAGAACGGCCAAGUGAUACUGCUGUGCUAGAGUGCGGAAGAGGCAACCGGAAUUCUUGGUGUAGCGGUGAAAUGCGUAGAUAUCAAGAGGAACACCUGAGGCGAAGGCGGGUUGCUGGGCCGACACUGACGCUGAUGCGCGAAAGCCAGGGGAGCAAACGGGAUUAGAUACCCGAGUAGUCCCUGUCUCUUAUAC
rnacentral:rRNA from 1 species